rnacentral:rRNA from 1 species
GACGAACCGGACAAACGUUAUUCGGAAUUACUGGGCUUAAAGGGUUUGUAGGCGGCCUUGUAAGUCAGGUGUGAAAUCCCUCGGCUCAACCGAGGAAUAGCGCUUGAUGCUGCAAGGCUUGAGGGAGACAGGGGUAAGCGGAACUGAUGGUGGAGCGGUGAAAUGCGUUGAUAUCAUCAGGAACACCGGUGGCGAAAGCGGCUUACUGGGUCUCUUCUGACGCUGAGGAACGAAAGCUAGGGGAGCGAACGGG